GCAACCAUCUCGCGGCUGGUAUUGUCACCCCUUGCUGGCGAGGCUGACCUCUCCAGCGCGGGGGCAUGGUGCCCCGCACAGCGCGCUGCCUGGGGAAGCCUUUUCAAAGUUCCUCUGGAGGCAUUCGCUGCUAGACUGUGCUCUGUAGUCUGGCUAUGCAUUAAAUACAGGAACAGCAGCUGGAAGAAUAGAGGCAGAAGAGGGAACCUGAGAUUCCCGUCUGCAGAGAGCACCGUAAGGUCCCACGUGUCCGCCGGCUGCCCUGUCCCCGUCCCACGUGGGGCUGGUCCCUUCUGGGAUUUGACCCGUCUGUGCGUUGAAAAGCUCAUUUCCCAGCUGUGCGUGCAUGUCCUCGUUUCAGGUUGCAUCUCACAAUGACCAUUAUGCCAGGGGCUGAACUGGGUGACUCGAAACCAACUCUGUGCUCCUGCUGGUAACAAGAAUGUGCAGGCAUUUGAACUGGUGUGACCAGAGCAGAGUGAUGCUGUGGGUGGCAUCGCUGCGUGGGCACCGCUGCGUGAGCAUCGCUUUGCUUUCUCCAUCCCUCCAGCAUGCCUCUGAUACGAGAUGCUUGUCAGGCAGUGAAGGUGCAAUGGUCUGGAAGAUCUCUGCAUCACAAGUGUGAUAUGGAUGUACGUUCCUUUUCACCAGUGUUUGGCAUUAAAUGGAUAAGGCAGUGUGAGAAUAUAAUAAAAAAUCUUGUUGGUAUACUAAAUGGAAUUUUCUCCUUGGA